rnacentral:ncRNA from 1 species
AGUUCAUACAAAUGGAAGGGUCUUUGCCUUCGUGCAAAGUGAAAAGGGAAACCGGUGCAAAUCCGGUGCGGUCCCGCCACUGUAUAUGGGUAGCGACACCAUAAAAGCCACUGUCGAAAGACGGGAAGGCGUGGUGAAGUGAUGAUCCAUAAGCCAGGAGACCUGCCUUUCCAUGCGAUUCUUG